rnacentral:rRNA from 1 species
GAUGAACGCUGGCGGCGUGCCUAAUACAUGCAAGUCGAGCGAACAGAUGAGGAGCUUGCUCCUCUGACGUUAGCGGCGGACGGGUGAGUAACACGUGGAUAACCUACCUAUAAGGCUGGGAUAACUUCGGGAAACCGGAGCUAAUACCGGAUAAUAUAUUGAACCGCAUGGUUCAAUAGUGAAAGACGGUUUUGCUGUCACUUAUAGAUGGAUCCGCGCCGCAUUAGCUAGUUGGUAAGGUAACGGCUUACCAAGGCAACGAUGCGUAGCCGACCUGAGAGGGUGAUCGGCCACACUGGAACUGAGACACGGUCCAGACUCCUACGGGAGGCAGCAGUAGGGAAUCUUCCGCAAUGGGCGAAAGCCUGACGGAGCAACGCCGCGUGAGUGAUGAAGGUCUUCGGAUCGUAAAACUCUGUUAUUAGGGAAGAACAAAUGUGUAAGUAACUAUGCACGUCUUGACGGUACCUAAGCAGAAAGCCACGGCUAACUACGU